rfam:Harpegnathos saltator strain R22 G/1 HarSal_1.0_3.contig8313, whole genome shotgun sequence.
CGUCAGAUAGCUCAAUGGUCUAGAGCAAUCACCCGCUAAGCGAAAGAAAGACCCGGAUUCGAUUCCCGGUCUAGCGA